UCUUCAUAGUGGACAGAUACCCUAACUGC
rnacentral:piRNA from 1 species